rnacentral:rRNA from 1 species
GUAUAUUGGACAAUGGGGGGAACCCUGAUCCAGCCAUGCCGCGAGUGUGAAGAAGGCCUUUUGGUUGUAAAGCACCUUAAGCGCGGCGGAGGCUCCUCUAGCUAAUACCUAGAGAUAGUGGACGUUACUCGCAGACUAAGCACCGGCCAACUCUGUCCCAUCAGCCGCGGUAAUACAGAGGGUGCAAGCGUUAAUCGGAUUUACUGGGCGUAAAGCGCGCGUAGGUGGCCAAUUAAGUCAAAUGUGAAAUCCCCGAGCUUAACUUGGGAAUUGCAUUCGAUACUGGUUGGCUAGACUAUGGGAGAGGAUGGUAGAAUUCCAGGUGUAGCGGUGAAAUGCGUAGAGAUCUGGAGGAAUACCGAUGGCGAAGGCAGCCAUCUGGCCUAAUACUGACACUGAGGUGCGAAAGCAUGGGGAGCAAACA